UACGAAGGGGGCUAGCGUUGCUCGGAAUUACUGGGCGUAAAGCGCACGCAGGCGGUCUCUUAAGUUUCGAGUGACAGGUGGUGGCUCAACUGCCACAGGCCUUGGAAACUGGGAGACUUGAGGACUUCAGAGGGAUGCGGAAUUCCAGGUGGAGCGGUGAAAUGCGUAGAGAUCUGGAAGAACACCAGGAGAAGGCAGCAUCCUGGGUCAAGAUUGACGCUCAUGCACGAAAGCGUGGGGAGCAAACAGG
rnacentral:rRNA from 1 species